rnacentral:rRNA from 1 species
UUGAACGCUGGCGGAAUGCUUUACACAUGCAAGUCGAGCGGCAGCGCGGGGGCAACCCUGGCGGCGAGCGGCGAACGGGUGAGUAACAUAUCGGAACGUACCCUAUCGUGGGGGAUAACACAUCGAAAGAUGUGCUAAUACCGCAUACGACCUGAGGGUGAAAGCAGGGGAUCGCAAGACCUUGCGCGACAGGAGCGGCCGAUAUCGGAUUAGCUAGUUGGUGAGGUAAAGGCUCACCAAGGCGACGAUCCGUAGCUGGUCUGAGAGGACGACCAGCCACACUGGAACUGAGACACGGUCCAGACUCCUACGGGAGGCAGCAGUGGGGAAUUUUGGACAAUGGGCGCAAGCCUGAUCCAGCCAUUCCGCGUGAGUGAAGAAGGCCUUCGGGUUGUAAAGCUCUUUCGCGAGGGAAGAAAACUUACCUAAUAACACUAGGUGAGGCUGACGGUACCUUGAUGAGAAGCACCGGCUAACUACGU